UCAACGCUGGCGGCGUGCUACUACAUGCAAGUCGAGCUGAACUUGCGGGAGCUUGCUCCCAAAAGUAGCGGCGGACGGGUGAGUAACACGUGGGCAACCUGCCUAUAAGACUGGGAUAACUUCGGGAAACCGGAGCUAAUACCGGAUAAUUCCUUUCCUCUCAUGAGGAAAGGCUGAAAGACGGCUUACGCUGUCACUUAUAGAUGGGCCCGCGGCGCAUUAGCUAGUUGGUGAGGUAACGGCUCACCAAGGCCACGAUGCGUAGCCGACCUGAGAGGGUGAUCGGCCACACUGGGACUGAGACACGGCCCAGACUCCUACGGGAGGCAGCAGUGGGGAGUUUGUUCGCAAUGGGCGCAAGCCUGACGACGCAACGCCGCGUGGAGGAUGAAGGUCUUCGGAUUGUAAACUCCUGUUGCCCGGGACGAAUGGCUUCGACCUAACACGUCGAAGUUUGACGGUACCGGGUGAGGAAGCCCCGGCUAACUCUGUGCCAGCAGCCGCGGUAAUACAGAGGGGGCAAGCGUUGUUCGGAAUUACUGGGCGUAAAGGGCGCGUAGGCGGCCUUCUAAGUCGAACGUGAAAUCCCGGG
rnacentral:rRNA from 1 species